CCCUGAUGAAGGUCAUUCAGCUGUAGAGUGCAAAGGACCUCGCGCUGCUUUAUCGACGGGAGUUGGCUUUGUGUUUGCUUUGCGCUUUUUGCUUGUGUCUGAUCCAUUUUUGUGAAAUGUUUUAUGGUUCUUCUGUGUUAGGCUGAACAAUGUUGUUGGGUGUGGUAUGUGUUUCUUUAUGUUGAUCGAAUGCAAUGGCGGGAAUUUUUGUUGUCUUAACUUUUUGCUGUUUCAUUUUGUUUCUAGCUCAUAGUUCUAUUUUAGAAAAUUAUACACUUAAUGUUGCCGCCAGAAGUCAGAUAAAGCGAUUAUCUUAUUAGAAAUCAAUAGAAAUCUACUCGUUCUACCUCUAACUGAGAUGAAACUUCAUCAGUGGCUUUACCUGGAGAUCGUUUGUAUUCCAUAAAGAACUGCUUUGUUCUCCCUCUUUCAUACAUCUCAGGACUGCCUCUGUUCUCUUCCCAGUCUCGGGAGUGCUGUCAAAAGUAAUGAAGCGAAUCGGUUGUUUCCCCAUUAUAUUCCCCCGAAGGGAACUGCCUCGACGCGUGUGUGUGAGGGAAGCGACGGGCGGCAGAAAGCCAUCCGUGAUGAAGGGGACACCGUGAAGGACGUCGCUCGAAGGCUACGUAGAGGCACCGAGGCUUAUGGAAAGGGAUUGUCCAGGCGCCCUCGGGUACUCUGUCUUCCCCGGGCCGUUCCUUUCUCACGCGGCUGACGCUUCGGUCGAGUCGAUCGCCCGGGCUGGCCGGCUCAGUCAUCGCCAUUAUUCUCCACCAGAUUGCCGAGUUAGAUGAGGAGAAAAAAGGAUACAUGGUCCCCGUAGACAACGAUCCAAGAGAACCAGUCAUUCCUUCUUCAGCAGGAACAUACCCCGAUGUAAGGUCUGUGAGAAUGAAUUAGACGAUCGCGCCAAGGCCUGGGGGAGGCGCUGCAGAAGGUAUCCACGUGGAAAGAAUCACACACACCAACAAUACAAGACGCUCUGUUUUCUUCACGACCCGCUGUGAUGUUUCGGGCUCUCGCACAAAGCACAGUCUUGUCACUGGAUAUCGACCUAGCCUUGACUUCUGCCUCUCUGUUUUUGCAAUCACGGACUCCAUUGCAUCGGGAGGCAUGCAACAGCCACCAUCAUCUGCAACGCGCUCAACAGGGGAAAGAGCAAUUUUCGUUGGGCCUUUGCAGCAUCUGC